ensembl:lncRNA
CACAGCUGUUGGUUUCGCACUCUUCUAAGCAAAAAUCAGCAAUAAGUGGAAAGAUAUAUACACGUGAAGAAAUCUGGAAAGCCACCGGAUGUGUCAAGAUGAGCCUCAAGUGAAGAUUCACCUUGAGUCUCAUUAUGACAUGAGACUGCUGCCAAGUGGACGGCUGAUCUCAGAGCAGAUCUGACUACAGAAGACAAGCACCUACAGAGAGGAUUCCUUCACCAUCAACAGGAGGACCCUGUCCAAGUCAUCUCCCAACCUAAAAGAUGGCAGGAAAGUAUCUGCCUUUUAAAUCUGAAGAAAAGACUGAAAACAUUAAGUAAGUAUCCUCAAAAUGGGGGGGCAAAAUAAAAAAGUCAGAAUGAAAAAUUCAAAAUCUCACUUACAAGAUCAUUUUUAAGCCUGGCCAUAUUGAUGCAAAUAUUUACACUUGUGGAGUGGGCAAAUAUAAAGCUAGAAGCACCAUGAACAUUAUCAGAGAAGUACAAGGAGCUUUGCUUUCAGAAACUUAAGACCAAGCAACUUCAUUAAUUCACUGUUUAUUAACUUACACCAUUGAUGUCAUGUUUUG